rnacentral:rRNA from 1 species
GACGAACGCUGGCGGCGUGCUUAACACAUGCAAGUCGAACGAUGAAACCUAGCUUGCUAGGUCGAUUAGUGGCGAACGGGUGAGUAACACGUGACUAACCUGCCCCUUUCUCUGGGAUAACGCUCCGAAAGAAGUGCUAAUACCGGAUACUCACACCAAGGCACAUGCCUUGGUGUGGAAAGUUUUUAGGAAAGGGAUGGAGUCGAGGCCGAUCAGCUUGUGGGUGAGGUAACGGCUCACCAAGGCGACGACGGGUAGCCGGCCUGAGAGGGGGACAGGCCACACUGGGACUGAGACACGGCCCAGACUAGUACGGGAGGCAGCAGUGGGGAAUAUUGCACAAUGGGCGCAAGCCUGAUGCAGCGACGCCGCGUGAGGGAUGAAGGUCUUCGGAUUGUAAACCUCUUUCAGUAGGGACGAAGCGAAAGUGACGGUACCUAAAGAAGAAGCACCGGCUAACUACGUGCCAGCAGCCGCAGUAA